UCCGGUAUGGUGUAGUGGCUAACAUCGCUCGCUCUCAUCUUGAAGUACCGAGCAGCCCAGGGUUCGAUUCCCUGUACCGGAG
rfam:Drechmeria coniospora strain ARSEF 6962 chromosome 02, whole genome shotgun sequence.